rnacentral:misc_RNA from 1 species
AACUCUCAACCCCCUCAUUUUGUAAUGAAAUGCAGCGCGGGCUUGGAUUAUGGCUGCCUGCCGGCGUAAUUGCCGACUCAGCUGAAAUAUACGAGCAACCCAGUUGAAAUAGACGGUUUGACUCGGCGUAAUAAUUAUUUCGCUGAGGACGUCUUCUUUAAAGUCAGUGGUGCUUCUAAUGCGUAUCAUACACUUUUAGC